rnacentral:rRNA from 1 species
GACGAACGCUGGCGGCGUGCUUAACACAUGCAAGUCGAGCGGUAAGGCCCUUUCGGGGGUACGACGAGCGGCGAACGGGUGAGUAACACGUGGGUGACCUGCCCUCAGCUCUGGGAUAAGCCUGGGAAACCGGGUCUAAUACUGGAUAUGACUCCAUGACGCAUGUUGUGGGGUGGAAAGCCUUGUGCGGCUGAGGAUGGGCCCGCGGCCUAUC